rnacentral:sRNA from 1 species
CCCUUCCUACGGCUACGGGAAGGAUCGCCCAGCGGCUGAGGCUGGACAGAGCACAGGAAUUCCUGGUUUGAAAGGGCCAUAUAUUCAAAGUGACCUCCAAAUACAGAAGGAGCUGAGAAACUAAAGAAUGAAGCAGAAAAAUCCAGCUUGUCAGUAAAAGGUGAUUUAUUAGGGAACUUACAGACAGAAGCAUGGUCUUUGACAGCAGCAAGACAGGAAGCCCAUGCCGUGUCCUGAGGACGGGUGAGCAGCCUGGUGGAGAGAUCUAUCCGGUGAGGAACUGAAACUGCCUGCAGUCAUGUGAGGGAGCCACCUUAGAGGCAGACCCUCCAGCCUGAGUCAAGCCUUCAGAUGACUGCAGAUGACAUCUUGACCACAACCUCAGGAUCGAUUCGGAGCCAGAACCACUUAGCUAAGCCACUACCACAUUCCUGACUGUCAGAAACUGAGCGACAUAAUGACUCUGUGGUUUUUAGGCUGCUAUAUCUGGGAGCAAUUUGUUCAACAGGAGUGGUACCUACCUUAAGUAUUAAUAGUUGUUGAGAGUCACCUUUCUCACCCCUUCACUUGAUGGCGCUGUUGUGCAACUGCAAACUCUUGUGGCGACGACUUGUCUCGCUGUACACCAG